UACGUAGGUGACCAGCGUUGUCCGGAUUUACUGGGCGUAAAGAGCGCGCAGGCGGUCGUUCAAGUCGAGUGUGAAAGCCCCCGGCUCAACUGGGGAGGGUCAUUCGAUACUGAUCGACUCGAAGGCAGGAGAGGGAAGUGGAAUUCCCGGUGUAGUGGUGAAAUGCGUAGAUAUCAAGAGGAACACCUGAGGCGAAGGCGGGUUGCUAGGCUGACACUGACGCUGAGUGCGCGAAAGCCAGGGGAGCAAACGGG
rnacentral:rRNA from 1 species